AGUGAACGCUGGCGGCAUGCCUAAUACAUGCAAGUCGAACGACCGCACAGUAAGCUUUUGCUCUUACGGUUAGCGGCUGGCGGGCGGGUGAGACGUGCAUCGGCAACUAAUUUUUCGGGGGGGAUAACGGGGGGAAACUGACACUACUAGCUCAUAUGUCGUACGGCUGGAAGCAAGAGUUCUUCACGACCUUCCUGUCUCAUUGAGAUGAUGCCGCAUUAGCUAGUUGGCAAGGUAAGGGCCUACCAAGGCAACGAUGCGUAGCCGACCUGAGAGGAUGAUCGGCCACACUGGAACUGAGACACGGUCCAGACUCCUACGGGAGGCAGCAGUAGGGAAUAUUCCGCAAUGGGCGAAAGCCUGACGGAGCAACGCCGCGUGAGUGAAGAAGGUCUUCGGAUUGUAAAGCUCUGUUAUUAGGGAAGAAAAAAUGUGUAAGUAACUCUGCACGUCUUGACGGUACCCAAUCAGAAAGCCACGGCUAACUACGUG
rnacentral:rRNA from 1 species